rnacentral:rRNA from 1 species
UGCCAGACUCCUACGGGAGGCAGCAGUGGGGAAUAUUGCACAAUGGGCGCAAGCCUGAUGCAGCCAUGCCGCGUGUAUGAAGAAGGCCUUCGGGUUGUAAAGUACUUUCAGCGGGGAGGAAGGGAGUAAAGUUAAUACCUUUGCUCAUUGACGUUACCCGCAGAAAAAGCAUCGGCUAACUCCGUGCCAGCAGCCGCGGUAAUACGGAGGAUGCGAGCGUUAUCCGGAUUUAUUGGGUUUAAAGGGUGCGUAGGCGGUCCGUUAAGACAGCGGUAAAAUGGCGGGGCUCAACCCCGUCGAGCCGUUGAAACUGGCAGACUUGAGUUGGCGAGAAGUACGCGGAAUGCGCGGUGUAGCGGUGAAAUGCAUAGAUAUCGCGCAGAACUCCGAUUGCGAAGGCAGCAUGCCGGCUCCACACUGACGCUGAGGCACGAAAGCGUGGGUAUCGAACAGGAUUAGAUACCCCAGUAA